AUAUCUUUCUCGGUCUUGUGGCUAAGAUCAAGUGUAACAUCUGUUCUUAUCAGAUAUAUGAAUUCUCCGUCUACACAUGAUAUUAACUCAUUUUUCAAAAAGGGGAAGACUCACUCCCUAUUGAACGAAUGAAGAACUUGUGUUCUAUCGAACAGUUU
rnacentral:snRNA from 1 species